AAGCCUGAUGCAGCAACGCCGCGUGAACGAUGAAGGUCUUCGGAUCGUAAAGUUCUGUUGCAGGGGAAGAUAAUGACGGUACCCUGUGAGGAAGCCCCGGCUAACUACGUGCCAGCAGCCGCGGUAAUACGUAGGGGGCUAGCGUUAUCCGGAUUUACUGGGCGUAAAGGGUGCGUAGGUGGUCCUUCAAGUCGGUGGUUAAAGGCUACGGCUCAACCGUAGUAAGCCGCCGAAACUGGAGGACUUGAGUGCAGGAGAGGAAAGUGGAAUUCCCAGUGUAGCGGUGAAAUGCGUAGAUAUUGGGAGGAACACCAGUAGCGAAGGCGGCUUUCUGGACUGCAACUGACACUGAGGCACGAAAGCGUGGGUAGCAAACAGGAUUAGAUACCCUGGUAGUCCACGCUGUAAACGAUGAGUACUAGGUGUCGGGGGUUACCCCCCUCGGUGCCGCAGCUAACGCAUUAAGUACUCCGCCUGGGGAGUACGCACGCAAGUGUGAAACUCAAAGAAUUGACGGGGACCGCACAAGUAGCGGAGCAUGUGGUU
rnacentral:rRNA from 1 species